CGUGAACUGCGAAUGGCUCAUUAAAUCAGUUAUCGUUUAUUUGAUAGUACCUUACUACAUGGAUAACCGUGGUAAUUCUAGAGCUAAUACAUGCUAAAAACCCCAACUUCGGGAGGGGUGUAUUUAUUAGAUAAAAAACCAAUGCCCUUCGGGGCUCUUUGGUGAUUCAUGAUAACUUCUCAGAUCGCAUGGCCUUGCGCCGGCGACGGUUCAUUCAAAUUUCUGCCCUAUCAACUUUCGAUGGUAAGGUAUUGGCUUACCAUGGUUUCAACGGGUAACGGGGAAUUAGGGUUCGAUUCCGGAGAGGGAGCCUGAGAAACGGCUACCACAUCCAAGGAAGGCAGCAGGCGCGCAAAUUACCCAAUCCCGACACGGGGAGGUAGUGACAAUAAAUACUGAUACAGGGCUCUUUUGGGUCUUGUAAUUGGAAUGAGUACAAUUUAAACCUCUUAACGAGGAACAAUUGGAGGGCAAGUCUGGUGCCAGCAGCCGCGGUAAUUCCAGCUCCAAUAGCGUAUAUUAAAGUUGUUGCAGUUAAAAAGCUCGUAGUUGAACCUUUGGCCUGGCUGGCAGGUCCGCCUCACCGCGUGCACUUGUCCGGCCGGGCCUUCUUUUCUGGAGAACCGCAUGCCCUUCACUGGGUGUGUUGGGGACCAGGACUUUUACUUUGAAAAAAUUAGAGUGUUCAAAGCAGGCCUUUGCUCGAAUACGUUAGCAUGGAAUAAUAGAAUAGGACGUGCGGUCCUAUUUUGUUGGUUUCUAGGACCGCCGUAAUGAUUAAUAGGGACAGUCGGGGGCAUCAGUAUUCAAUUGUCAGAGGUGAAAUUCUUGGAUUUAUUGAAGACUAACUACUGCGAAAGCAUUUGCCAAGGAUGUUUUCAUUAAUCAGUGAACGAAAGUUAGGGGAUCGAAGACGAUCAGAUACCGUCGUAGUCUUAACCAUAAACUAUGCCGACUAGGGAUCGGGCGGUGUUUUUAUUAUGACCCGCUCGGCACCUUACGAGAAAUCAAA
rnacentral:rRNA from 1 species